UACAGAGGUCUCAAGCGUUGUUCGGAUUCAUUGGGCGUAAAGGGUGCGUAGGUGGCGGGGUAAGUCAGGUGUGAAAUUUCGGAGCUUAACUCCGAAACUGCAUUUGAUACUGCCUUGCUUGAGGACUGGAGAGGAGACUGGAAUUCAUGGUGUAGCAGUGAAAUGCGUAGAGAUCAUGAGGAAGACCAGUGGCGAAGGCGGGUCUCUGGACAGUUCCUGACACUGAGGCACGAAGGUUAGGGGAGCAAACGGG
rnacentral:rRNA from 1 species